rnacentral:rRNA from 1 species
AUUGAACGCUGGCGGCAUGCUUUACACAUGCAAGUCGGACGGCAGCACAGAGAAGCUUGCUUCUUGGGUGGCGGGUGGCGAACGGGUGAGUAACAUAUCGGAACGUACCGAGCAGUGGGGGAUAACUAAUCGAAAGAUUAGCUAAUACCGCAUAUUUUCUGAGGAAGAAAGCAGGGGACCUUUGGGCCUUGCGCUGUUUGAGCGGCCGAUAUCUGUUUAGCUAGUUGGUGGGGUAAAGGCCUACCAAGGCGACGAUCAGUAGCGGGUCUGAGAGGAUGAUCCGCCACACUGGGACUGAGACACGGCCCAGACUCCUACGGGAGGCAGCAGUGGGGAAUUUUGGACAAUGGGCGCAAGCCUGAUCCAGCCAUGCCGCGUGUCUGAAGAAGGCCUUCGGGUUGUAAAGGACUUUUGUCAGGGAAGAAAAGGGCGGGGUUAAUACCCCUGUCUGAUGACGGUACCUGAAGAAUAAGCACCGGCUAACUACGUG